rnacentral:rRNA from 1 species
AUAGCUGGUUCUCUCCGAAAUAGCUUUAGGGCUAGCCUCGACUGAACAUUACCGGAGGUAAAGCACUGAAUGGGCUAGGGGCCGAGAGGUUACUGAACCCUAUCAAACUAAGAAUGCCGGAUAAUGAUAGUCGGGAGUCAGACAGUGUGAGAUAAGUUUCAUUGUCGAAAGGGAAACAGCCCAGACCCACAGCUAAGGUCCCAAAGUAUCGUUAAGUGGAAAAGGAUGUGGAACUGCCCAGACAACCAGGAUGUUGGCUCAGAAGCAGCCAUACAUUCAAAGAGUGCGUAAUAGCUCACUGGUCGAGUGGUUCUGCGCCGAAAAUUUAACGGGGCUAAACGAUACACCGAAGCUUGGGAUGCAGCAUUGGCUGCAUGGUAGGAGAGCGUUCUGUACGGGGUGAAGUCAUAGCGGAAGCGGUGGUGGACUGUACAGAAGAGAGAAUGCCGGAAUGAGUAGCGAGAUUUAUGUGAGAAUCAUAAAGGCCGAAAGACUAAGGAUUUAGAAGGAAGGUUCGUCCGCUUCUAGUUAGCCGGGAGCUAAGGCGAGGCCGAAAGGCGUAGUCGAUGCACAUACGGUGGAGAUUCCGUAGCCGCCUCUUAAUUUAAGCAAAGGGACACUUUCAAAGGGAAUGACCCGGGCGUUGGUAGCCCCGGGCGAAAGGGACCGAAAUUAGAGUAGGGAAGCAUUUCUGGAGGAAGGCGAGAAAAGCUUUGCGGAUAGAGAGAGGCGCCCGUACCGCAAACCGACACAGGUAGUCAGGAAGAGGAUUCUAAGGCCAACGGGAGAAGGGUAGUUAAGGAACUCGGCAAAUUGACCCCGUAACUUCGGAAUAAGGGGUGCUCCUGAAAAGGAGCCGCAGUGAAUAGGCCCAGGCGACUGUUUAUCAAAAACACAGCUCUCUGCUAAAUCGAAAGAUGAAGUAUAGGGGGUGACACCUGCCCGGUGCUGGAAGGUUAAGAGGAAGGGUGCAAGCUCUGAAUUGAAGCCCCAGUAAACGGCGGCCGUAACUAUAACGGUCCUAAGGUAGCGAAAUUCCUUGUCGGGUAAGUUCCGACCCGCACGAAUGGUGUAACGAUCUGGGCACUGUCUCAACUACCCACCCGGCGAAAUUGUAGUACCGGUGAAGAUGCCGGUUACCCGCGGCAAGACGGAAAGACCCCAUGGAGCUUUACUGUAGCCUGAUAUUGGGUUUCGGUAUUCUAUGUACAGGAUAGGCGGGAGACUGGGAACCG